GGGCUUGACAUCCCACGAACCUGGAAACAGGGAUUUCCCCUUCGGGGGACCGGGAGACAGGUGCUGCAUGGCUGUCGUCAGCUCGUGUCGUGAGAUGUUGGGUUAAGUCCCGCAACGAGCGCAACCCUCGUCCUCUGUUGCCAUCACGUUAUGGUGGGCACUCUGAGGAGACUGCCGGUGACAAACCGGAGGAAGGUGGGGAUGACGUCAAGUCAGCAUGGCCUUUAUGUCUGGGGCCACACACGUGCUACAAUGGCCGGUACAAACCGUUGCGAUCCCGCGAGGGGGAGCUAAUCGGAGAAAGCCGGUCUCAGUUCGGAUCGUAGGCUGCAACUCGCCUGCGUGAGGUCGGAAUCGCUAGUAAUCGCGGAUCAGCACGCCGCGGUGAAUACGUUCCCGGGCCUUGUACACACCGCCCGUCACACCACGAAAGCCAGCUGUACUCGAAGUCGCUGAG
rnacentral:rRNA from 1 species